CCUACGGGCGGCAGCAGUGAGGAAUAUUGGUCAAUGGGCGGAAGCCUGAACCAGCCAAGUCGCGUGAGGGAUUAAGGCCCUGCGGGUCGUAAACCUCUUUUGCCGGGGAGCAGUGGUCCGGACGAGUCCGGGCCGGGAGAGUACCCGGAGAAAAAGCAUCGGCUAACUCCGUGCCAGCAGCCGCGGUAAUACGGAGGAUGCGAGCGUUAUCCGGAUUUAUUGGGUUUAAAGGGUGCGUAGGCGGGCAUUUAAGCCGGCGGUCAAAUGUCGGGGCUCCACCCCGGCCUGCCGUCGGAACUGGGUGCCUUGAGUGGGCGAGAAGUAUGCGGAAUGCGUGGUGUAGCGGUGAAAUGCAUAGAUAUCACGCAGAACCCCGAUUGCGAAGGCAGCAUACCGGCGCCCGACUGACGCUGAGGCACGAAAGUGCGGGUAUCGAACAGGAUUAGAUACCCCGGUAGUC
rnacentral:rRNA from 1 species